CUGAACUCAGACGCUUAAUCAACUGAGACACCCAGGCGCUCCUACACUUGUACACGUUUUAAAUUGUGGAGGGUAAUAAAAUAUUUUACUGAAAGAAGCUUAUCUUGUCUUUCAUUUUUAUUUCAGAGAUACUUUAUUUUCAUUUAUGAUUCAGCUUUAAAUGGUAUCUGGGCCCACUCUUUCAGUUCUCUGCUGCUGCUUUUUCUAUCAAGCAGGUAGAAAUUUAUAAAUGAAUUACCAGGUGCGCUCCUUAUUUAAGUGGAACUCACAUUAAUUCAUUGUGAAAAUAAAAUGUCUGCUCUCCUUAACUCACCCACUCAGUUUAUUUUCUUGACAGUGUGUUUUCCUUAACCAGCACAGCACAGCAGAAAACACAUCAAACUGGGUAUCCUGUGACCUACACUGUAGACACAGCUCUUCACAAAUGGGUAUCCUUUUCCACUUAUUAUAAAAUCUUUGAGUUGGAAGAAAAUUUAGAGGACAUUUGUUCAAAUCUACCACUUAAGAUGGGCACUUCUGGAUUCAAACUGGUGUUCCAGGUUACUUCAUUAAAGGAGCUAAUUGGCUUAGUCCACAUCCCUGGUAACAUCUUCUUGAAGCAAAAUGUGGAACAAGGUCUCCUGGCAACUGGAAACUAGUGGCCACUGCCCUUUUGCCCAGAAAAAAGGGGGCUAUCGUUGAACCAGGUGGAACCCAGAGGACACAGGCAGGCAGUCGGGCCGAGCUGCUUGCUGAUGCUAAUUAUCCUAGCCCAGUGCUUCCCUUCUGGGGAAGUAGGAGGAGAGAAAUUCAUGCCAAGUUCUUGCACAAGGUCAAAUGUUUCUGGAGGAAGGCAGCCAGGGUUAAAUUAGCAGUCAGAAUGAGGUAGAAAGCUGGGUGGAGAAAAACAGGCUGGGAGAAGGGGGGAGAAGUCUGGAAAUUCAAAUAAAGACAGCAGUAAAAAGUAAUUACUAACACAUUUCCCAACUUGGAAAGCUAGCCACAUCCCACACCAGGGCCAGACUCAGAGCUGUUCUGUUCCAAGAAGGUUGGAGCAGGCUCAGGCACAGGAAGGGACUGUGCAAGCCAGCUGCCUGUCCCUGGCUUUGGAGCUGUGCUCCCCGAAAAGGAAAAUUCAUCUUGAACGAGAAAGCAAAGGACAUUGCUGCCUAAAUUCUCCAUUAAGAUCAACACCCUCCAUACAUUCAAUAUAUCUGUCUUUCCAGGACUACCCAACAGCAAAAAGUCAUCAAACAUCAAAACAAAGGAAACAGAAAUCUUCUAGGAAAAUGUAAGCCUUUGUGAACCUAAAAUAUUUUCCUUCUCUGCUGCUCAUCAACAUAACCGGAGGAAAGAAACUGUUUGUGGGAGGGACAGAUCUCAGGAGAAGAGGAGGAGGUGAAGGAAAAAAAAAAGGAAAAGAGAAGCAAUGCUCUCUGGUGUCAAGAAGAAAAUCAUGAUUGGAUUGACUGGAAUGAACUGUUUUGACAGUUGAUUUUUAUUAUUUUUUCCCCCCUCCAACUUCAGAACCAUGACAGACGAUUGUGGAACAUCAAAUUGACGAGCGAAUACUUCAUCAGAUCUGGUUGCCUCAACAACUAAAAUAGCCAAAAUGUUAAGACAGUCAAAUAAGAUUGAUUAUUUCUGAUACAAUCUGUGGGUGGUUGACCCAAGAAUUCUCAGCCUAAUCACACAUAUAAACACAGAGGCCGUCGUUUCAGCAGAUGCAGAAGCAGGCAGCGGACAAGUGAAAAAACCGUCAAUCACCUGGAUGGAUGCUCAUCACUGCCGUGCCACGGAGCAGUGUGAAGAGAAACACCCAGAAAAGCCUCUGGAUUGCUUCUGGGUGCUGGGUGUCACAGGAGGCAGCCAGCCUUAAAAAGCUGGGAAUUCUGAUCCUCCCGGUUUCUAGCAAAAAGACAGAGUCUGCUUGUAAUGGAAAAACAGAUUCCCUCAAAUUGUUGUCUAGAGGUGCUGAGUCAUGCAUGAAUGUCAGGAGAUGACGCCAACCACAGCAUCAUUUCAUGGGGACUUUAUCUGGUGCGAACCAAGAGAAUUGUACUUUAUGAAUUUUCUUUAAGCAUCCACAGAUAAUUGUUGUGCUGGGUCAUAUACCAAAAGGGAAAUUAAAUCUCUCUCAUAAUUGGAUUUGGUAUUUGCAGGCUUUCCUGAAGACAAGGGAAAGGAAGUUCAUUUCAGACUUAAAGAAAAAUCUUGAAUUAAAGAAUUGCAAUCACCAUAUCAGGUGCCUGUCUGAAUUUAACCCACCGCUUGCAGAGGGAUGAACGCCUUAGGGUGAUGGCGCAGGUACAAAAGGUUCCUGAGCGUCACACUUGUUUGUUUGUUUGGCUAAGUUUUUCCUUUUCAUUGUGAGUUCUAAGAAAAUUAUUAUUUGAUAGCUUGGUGG